CCCUUAGAGUUUGAUCAUGGCUCAGGAUGAACGCUAGCGGCAGGCCUAACACAUGCAAGUCGAACGGUAACAGGGAAAAGCUUGCUUUUCCGCUGACGAGUGGCGCACGGGUGCGUAACGCGUAUACAAUCUACCUUUUGCUGUGGGAUAGCCCAGGGAAACUUGGAUUAAUACCGCAUAGUAUAUAAGAUCGGCAUCGUUUUUAUAUUAAAGGUUACGGCAAAAGAUGAGUAUGCGUCCUAUUAGCUAGAUGGUGUGGUAACGGCACACCAUGGCGACGAUAGGUAGGGGCCCUGAGAGGGGGAUCCCCCACACUGGUACUGAGACACGGACCAGACUCCUACGGGAGGCAGCAGUGAGGAAUAUUGGGCAAUGGAGGCAACUCUGACCCAGCCAUGCCGCGUGCAGGAAGACUGCCCUAUGGGUUGUAAACUGCUUUUAUACGGGAAGAAACACCGCUACGUGUAGCGGCUUGACGGUACCGUAAGAAUAAGGAUCGGCUAACUCCGUGCCAGCAGCCGCGGUAAUACGGAGGAUCCAAGCGUUAUCCGGAAUCAUUGGGUUUAAAGGGUCCGUAGGUGGAUAAUUAAGUCAGAGGUGAAAUCCUGCAGCUCAACUGUAGAAUUGCCUUUGAUACUGGUUGUCUUGAGUCAUUGUGAAGUAGUUAGAAUAUGUAGUGUAGCGGUGAAAUGCAUAGAUAUUACAUAGAAUACCGAUUGCGAAGGCAGAUUACUAACAAUGUACUGACACUGAUGGACGAAAGCGUGGGGAGCGA
rnacentral:rRNA from 1 species